GAUGAACGCUGGCGGCGUGCUUAACACAUGCAAGUCGAACGAUGAAGCCCAGCUUGCUGGGUGGAUUAGUGGCGAACGGGUGAGUAACACGUGAGUAACCUGCCCUUAACUCUGGGAUAAGCCUGGGAAACUGGGUCUAAUACCGGAUAGGAGCGUCCACCGCAUGGUGGGUGUUGGAAAGAUUUAUCGGUUUUGGAUGGACUCGCGGCCUAUCAGCUUGUUGGUGAGGUAAUGGCUCACCAAGGCGACGACGGGUAGCCGGCCUGAGAGGGUGACCGGCCACACUGGGACUGAGACACGGCCCAGACUCCUACGGGAGGCAGCAGUGGGGAAUAUUGCACAAUGGGCGAAAGCCUGAUGCAGCGACGCCGCGUGAGGGAUGACGGCCUUCGGGUUGUAAACCGCUUUCGCCUGUGACGAAGCGUGAGUGACGGUAAUGGGUAAAGAAGCACCGGCUAACUACGUG
rnacentral:rRNA from 1 species